GCCUAGGUAGCUCAGCUGGUUAGAGCGUGGUGCUGAUAACAUCAAGGUUGCAGGUUCAAUUCCUGUAUGAGACA